GCGUGGCUGCCUCUGUAACCUCAUCAAAGGCAGGCUCUGCCUGUGGCCACUAGCAGAGAAGCCGCUGUCCUUCCACCACCAGCACCGGACCACCUGCUCCAAGACCAGCCUCCUGGGGGGACCAGGCACACGGCCUUCACUGGCACCCAGGGAGCCGUCCUCAGCAGCGUCAACAUGUCAAGGCCCAGCAGCAGAGCCAUUUACUUGCACCGGAAGGAGUACUCCCAGAACCUCACCUCAGAGCCCACCCUCCUGCAGCACAGGGUGGAGGUGAGUACCUCUGCAGCCCCGGGCAGUGUCCAACUAAACCCAAGUGUUCCCAUGUGCCCACCGCCCUGCCAGAACAUGGACACUUCACACAAGUCCCUGCCCCAGAAGCCAACAGCCUGUCCCAACCAUGUCGCAUGGACUCAGAUCCAACAAGCGUGCCAGAGCAUCUGCUCAGUGUCAGGGAGGAGGAGGGGUGGUCAGAUUGAACAGAGCAGGCCUGGCUGGAGGUUGAGCGGGUGAGUGUCCUGUCCCCAGACAGGAAGAAGUAGCAGCAGGAUGGGAUAAGAAGCACCUACAACCACCCACCCACCUACCCUCCCCUGUCUCCCA
ensembl:lincRNA